GACGAACGCUGGCGGCGUGCUUAACACAUGCAAGUCGAACGGAAAGGCCCUGCUUUUGUGGGGUGCUCGAGUGGCGAACGGGUGAGUAACACGUGAGUAACCUGCCCUUGACUUUGGGAUAACUUCAGGAAACUGGGGCUAAUACCGGAUAGGAGCUCCUGCUGCACGGUGGGGGUUGGAAAGUUUCGGCGGUUGGGGAUGGACUCGCGGCUUAUCAGCUUGUUUGUGGGGUAGUGGCUUACCAAGGCUUUGACGGGUAGCCGGCCUGAGAGGGUGACCGGCCACAUUGGGACUGAGAUACGGCGCAGACUCCUACGGGAGGCAGCAGUGGGGAAUAUUGCACAAUGGGCGGAAGCCUGAUGCAGCAACGCCGCGUGCGGGAUGACGGCCUUCGGGUUGUAAACCGCUUUCGCCUGUGACGAAGCGUGAGUGACGGUAAUGGGUAAAGAAGCACCGGCUAACUACGUG
rnacentral:rRNA from 1 species